CGUAGGUGGCGAGCGUUGUCCGGAUUUACUGGGCGUAAAGGGAGCGUAGGCGGUUUUUUAAGUGGGGUGUGAAAUCCCUGGGCUUAACCCAGGAAUUGCAUUCCAUACUGGAAGACUAGAGUGCGGGAGAGGAAAGUGGAAUUCCAAGUGUAGCGGUGAAAUGCGUAGAGAUUUGGAGGAACACCAGUGGCGAAGGCGACUUUCUGGACUGUAACUGACGCUGAGGCUCGAGAGCGUGGGGAGCAAACAGGAUUAGAUACCCUGGUAGUCCACGCUGUAAACGAUGAAUACUAGGUGUAGGGGGCGAAGCCCUCUGUGCCGCAGUUAACACAUUAAGUAUUCCGCCUGGGGAGUACGAUCGCAAGAUUA
rnacentral:rRNA from 1 species